UACGUAGGGGGCAAGCGUUAUCCGGAAUUACUGGGCGUAAAGGGCUCGUAGGCGGCCAACUAAGUCAUACGUGAAAUCCCUCGGCUUAACCGGGGAACUGCGUCUGAUACUGGAUGGCUUGAGUUCGGGAGAGGGAUGCGGAAUUCCAGGUGUAGCGGUGAAAUGCGUAGAUAUCUGGAGGAACACCGGUGGCGAAGGCGGCAUCCUGGACCGAUACUGACGCUGAGGAGCGAAAGCCAGGGGAGCAAACGGG
rnacentral:rRNA from 1 species